rnacentral:rRNA from 1 species
GAUGAACGCUGGCGGCGUGCCUAAUACAUGCAAGUCGAGCGAACGGACGAGAAGCUUGCUUCUCUGAUGUUAGCGGCGGACGGGUGAGUAACACGUGGAUAACCUACCUAUAAGACUGGGAUAACUUCGGGAAACCGGAGCUAAUCCCGGAUAAUAUUUUGAACCGCAUGGUUCAAAAGUGAAAUACGGUCUUGCUGUCACUUAUAGAUGGAUCCUCGCUGCAUUAGCUAGUUGGUAAGGUAACGGCUUACCAAGGCAACAAUGCAUAGCCGACCUGAGAGGGGGAUGGGCAACACGGGAACUGAGAAACGGUCCAGACUCCUACGGAAGGCAGCAGAAGGGAAUCUACGGCAAUGGGCGAAAGCCUGACGAAGAAAAGCCGCGUGAGUGAGGAAGGUCUUCGGAUAGUAAAACUCGGUUAUUAGGGAAGAACAUAUGUGGAAGGAACUGUGCACAUAUUGACGGUACCUAAUCAGAAAGCCACGGCUAACUACGUG